UCCGGUUUGUCACCGGCAGUCUGGCGUGAGUCCCCAACUUAAUGCUGGCAACACGCCACGGGGGCUGCGCUCGUUGCGGGACUUAACCCAACAUCUCACGACACGAGCUGACGACAGCCAUGCACCACCUGUGCACUGGCCCCGAAGGGCUGCCGGGUUUCCCCGACAUUCCAGUGCAUGUCAAGCCCAGGUAAGGUUCUUCGCGUUGCGUCGAAUUAAACCACAUGCUCCGCUGCUUGUGCAGGCCCCCGUCAAUUCCUUUGAGUUUCACCCUUGCGGGCGUACUCCCCAGGUGGAUUACUUAACGCUUUCGCUAAGACGCCGACAGUUUAUCGCCGACAUCGAGUAAUCAUCGUUUACAGCGUGGACUAC
rnacentral:misc_RNA from 1 species